rnacentral:rRNA from 1 species
UGGGGAAUAUUGGACAAUGGGCGAAAGCCUGAUCCAGCCAUGCCGCGUGUGUGAAGAAGGUCUUCGGAUUGUAAAGCACUUUAAGUUGGGAGGAAGGGCAUUAACCUAAUACGUUAGUGUUUUAACGUUACCGACAGAAUAAGCACCGGCUAACUCUGUGCCAGCAGCCGCGUUAAUACAGAGGGUGCAAGCGUUAAUCGGAAUUACUGGGCGUAAAGCGCGCGUAGGUGGUUUGUUAAGUUGGAUGUGAAAUCCCCGGGCUCAACCUGGGAACUGCAUUCAAAACUGACUGACUAGAGUAUGGUAGAGGGUGGUGGAAUUUCCUGUGUAGCGGUGAAAUGCGUAGAUAUAGGAAGGAACACCAGUGGCGAAGGCGGCCACCUGGACUAAUACUGACACUGAGGUGCGAAAGCGUGGGGAGCAAACA